rnacentral:rRNA from 1 species
UGGGGGAAUUUUGGACAAUGGGCGAAAGCCUGAUCCAGCAAUGCCGCGUGUGUGAAGAAGGCCUUCGGGUUGUAAAGCACUUUUGUCCGGAAAGAAAUCCUUGGCUCUAAUACAGUCGGGGGAUGACGGUACCGGAAGAAUAAGCACCGGCUAACUACGUGCCAGCAGCCGCGGUAAUACGUAGGGUGCAAGCGUUAAUCGGAAUUACUGGGCGUAAAGCGUGCGCAGGCGGUUUGCUAAGACCGAUGUGAAAUCCCCGGGCUCAACCUGGGAACUGCAUUGGUGACUGGCAGGCUAGAGUAUGGCAGAGGGGGGUAGAAUUCCACGUGUAGCAGUGAAAUGCGUAGAGAUGUGGAGGAAUACCGAUGGCGAAGGCAGCCCCCUGGGCCAAAUACUGACGCUCAUGCACGAAAGCGUGGGGGAGCAAAACAGGAUUAGAUACCCCUGGGUAGUCCACGCCCUAAACGAUGUCAACUAGUUGUUGGGGAUUCAUUUCCUUAGUAACGUAGCUAACGCGUGAAGUUGACCGCCUGGGGAGUACGGUCGCAAGAUUAAAACUCAAAGGAAUUGACGGGG